AACCAGUCAAACAUUUUGCUUGGACAAGAAAUAGAUAGAUAUUCUCCAAAAUAAAAAGCUUUACAAAGCGCUCCAAGUAGCUGUGAUCAACUUUCCAAAACUGACUUUAUCUAACAGUAUUUGGAGAUGAGUACUCAGGUCGUCUCUUGAAGCCUAUAUAUAGUGAUCUCCUGCUGCUUGAAAUAGCGUCUGUCUUCUUCAUCAACAAGAACAAGAU
rnacentral:misc_RNA from 1 species